rnacentral:sRNA from 1 species
GUUUGCACUUGUCGGGGAAGGGUGAGAACCUUCGAUUAAGGUUCGACUCGAGCGAAAGCGAGAGAACGUUGCCAACGGCAACGGCCCGUAGGUUGAGGAGCGAAGCGACGAAUAAUCCUUCCCGCACCACCA